rnacentral:rRNA from 1 species
CCUACGGUGGGCAGCAGUGAGGAAUAUUGGUCAAUGGGCGCGAGCCUGAACCAGCCAAGUAGCGUGAAGGAUGACUGCCUUACGGGUUGUAAACUUCUUUUAUAAAGGAAUAAAGUGAGGCACGUGUGCCUUUUUGUACGUACUUUAUGAAUAAGGAUCGGCUAACUUCGCGCCAGCAGCCGCGGUAAUACGGAGGAUCCGAGCGUUAUCCGGAUUUAUUGGGUUUAAAGGGAGCGUAGAUGGGUUGUUAAGUCAGUUGUGAAAGUUUGGGGCUCAACCGUAAAAUUGCAAUUGAUACUGGCAACCUAGAGUACAGUUGAGGUAAGCGGAAUUCGUGGUGUAGCGGUGAAAUGCUUAGAUAUCACGAAGAACUCCGAUUGCGAAGGCAGCCUACUAAACUGCCACUGACAUUGAUGCUCGAAAGUGUGGGUAUCAAACAGGAUUAGAUACCCCAGUAGUC